GACGAAGGGGGCUAGCGUUGUUCGGAAUUACUGGGCGUAAAGCGCGUGUAGGCGGUUGCCCAAGUCGGGUGUGAAAGCCUUGAGCUCAACUCAAGAAAUGCACUCGGUACUGGGUGACUAGAGGACCGGAGAGGAUAGUGGAAUUCCUGGUGUAGCGGUGAAAUGCGCAGAUAUCAGGAGGAACACCAAUUGCGAAGGCAGCUCGCUGGGACGUUACUGACGCUGGAGACGCGAAAGCGUGGGGAGCAAACAGG
rnacentral:rRNA from 1 species